UACGAAGGGGGCUAGCGUUGCUCGGAAUCACUGGGCGUAAAGCGCACGUAGGCGGAUUGUUAAGUCAGGGGUGAAAUCCUGGAGCUCAACUCCAGAACUGCCUUUGAUACUGGCGAUCUCGAGUCCGGGAGAGGUGAGUGGAACUGCGAGUGUAGAGGUGAAAUUCGUAGAUAUCGGGAGGAACACCGGUGGCGAAGGCGGCGACCUGGGACAAUACUGACGCUGAGGUGCGAAAGCGUGGGGAGCAAACAGG
rnacentral:rRNA from 1 species